UACGAAGGGGGCAAGCGUUGUUCGGAAUUACUGGGCGUAAAGCGUGCGCAGGCGGUUUUGUAAGCCAGAUGUGAAAUCCCCGGGCUCAACCUGGGAAUGGCAUUUGGGACUGCAAGGCUGGAGUACGGCAGAGGAGACUGGAAUUCCUGGUGUAGCAGUGAAAUGCGUAGAGAUCGGGAGGAAUACCGAUGGCGAAGGCAGGUCUCUGGGCUGAUACUGACGCUCAUGCACGAAAGCGUGGGGAGCAAACAGG
rnacentral:rRNA from 1 species